UUUAUAGAUGUUGAAAUCCAGCUACAUGAUAACUUCAUUCUUUUGAGACUGAUAACUCAAACUAACUGGAGUUAAGGACACCGAAGUCUGUUUGUGUGAGGAGGUGGUUUUCUCAGCUUCUUCUGAAGAGAGGGAAAGAUAGUUUAAGGCAAGUAAACUUCAUAAUUUCAUGUUAUCAGUUGUUGUUGUUUUUUUACUAAGAGUAAAAUAAUGUUUGUUUUUGUAGAUGUUAAAAGCCAGAGACAUGGGAGAGCAUCAUUCUUUUGAGAUUUUAUAACUCAAACCAACUUUGGAGUUGUCUUGUCUGAUUUGGAGAGUCAUCAAUCUUGGUCUUCCCUCUA